UACGUAGGGGGCAAGCGUUGUCCGGAAUCAUUGGGCGUAAAGCGCGCGUAGGCGGCCAGAAAAGUCCGCUGUGAAAACUCGAGGCUCAACUUCGAGCCGUCGGUGGAAACUUUCUGGCUAGAGUCCGGAAGAGGAGAAUGGAAUUCCUGGUGUAGCGGUGAAAUGCGCAGAUAUCAGGAAGAACACCCGUGGCGAAGGCGGUUCUCUGGGACGGUACUGACGCUGAGACGCGAAAGCGUGGGGAGCGAACAGG
rnacentral:rRNA from 1 species